AUCCUACUGACGAGUCCCAAAUAGGACGAAAUGUGCGUCCUGGAU
rnacentral:hammerhead_ribozyme from 1 species